GCUUUCACUUCUCCCCUGGGGAGUGCUGCCUGCAUCACACAGAGACCUUCAGAAGCCUGCUAUAAUCUUCAGGACCCACGUACAGCAGUCCAACGGCAGACUGAGCAGCUGGAACUCGGAGAGCUCAAGGCCAGCCUGGCUUAUAUAGUGAGUUCUAGGCCAUCCAGAGUUACAGAGAUCCUGCCUCAACAAAACAAGUAACUUGAUGGAAAGAAAAAUUUAAAGUUUACAACCAUCCAGAGCUUCCUCUUUAUAAAAGAGUCCAGAACACUCAGAGAGAGAUGAAUCUGAUUUCCCAAGAGAGGAUACCUGUGGACUCUCAGACAACUGAGGCUAAAAA
rnacentral:lncRNA from 1 species